rnacentral:tRNA from 1 species
GUCAAGAUGGCAGAACAAUGCCACAGGUUUAAACCCUGUUUAUGAGCCUGGCUCUCUUGUUA